CUUUUAACGAGAGUUUGAUCCUGGCUCAGGAUGAACGCUGGCGGCGUGCUUAACACAUGCAAGUCGAGCGAAGCACUUUACUUGGAUUUCUUCGGAGAAAAGAGUGUAGUGACUGAGCGGCGGACGGGUGAGUAACGCGUGGGUAACCUGCCUCAUACAGGGGGAUAACAGUCAGAAAUGACUGCUAAUACCGCAUAAGACCGCAGUACCGCAUGGUACGGUGGUAAAAACUCCGGUGGUAUGAGAUGGACCCGCGUCU
rnacentral:rRNA from 1 species